UACGUAGGGUGCAAGCGUUGUCCGGAAUUAUUGGGCGUAAAGAGCUCGUAGGCGGUUUGUCGCGUCUGCUGUGAAAACUCGGGGCUUAACUCCGGGCCUGCAGUGGGUACGGGCAGACUAGAGUGCGGUAGGGGAGACUGGAAUUCCUGGUGUAGCGGUGAAAUGCGCAGAUAUCAGGAAGGACACCCGUGGCGAAGGCGGCUCUCUGGGACGGUACUGACGCUGAGACGCGAAAGCGUGGGGAGCGAACAGG
rnacentral:rRNA from 1 species